AAGAAAUAGAAGGCGCGUAAUACACAUUUCAUUCCCACACUUUUUUUUCUCCAAAAAUUUCACUCCACUUUCACAAGCCGUGCCAGAACACCCCACUCCUUCUUUCAAUCUUUCAUCCCAUCAAAAAACCCCAAAAUCAGUUUCAUCUUUCUUCCCCAAAGUCAUGGCUUUCUUCAGAAAACUUAAUCGCAUCUUUCUUCCCUAAACCCUAAUCCCCAAAUUAGUUUGUUACCAUCCUCUGUUGUAAGCUUUCUCAAUCAGUUCGAAUUCGCCGCACCAAUUUGAUUCGCCAUACACACAAUCUAUUGUGCUUUUUGUCCCUCACGAUUUGAAGAUGUGAAGUCUACACUUGGGGUUCGAUUAACAGCUUUCUCGCUUUUUCCUUUGUCGAUUUUUGGUUUUGAUGAGGAAAGAAGAGCCAGAGAUGGGGAAUUUGAUUUUUCUAGUGGUUUUUGUUAUCUCUAUCGUGGACUGUGUUGUUUGUGCGGUUUGUCCUAGUAGCUGUGCGGUUUAUCUCUGUCGUGAAUUUGAUUUUUCUUCACCUGUGGUGUCCCCUUCUUUCGCUGAUACAAGGAGGGGCUGUUUCCUUGUGUGGCUUGCUAGCUUAUCUCCUAUAGCUGCUGUUUGUGGUAUUUUUGCUGUUACAGCGUGCUGAUUUGUUCUUUUUGUAACUAGUUCUUUUGUUUAUUCUGAUAGAUAGCUGCAUCUAGUGAGGACAUAAUUUGUUGCUUAAGAUUCUCAUCAGUAACUAAGGCAUGUGAAAAGUUGUUUUGAGCUGUUUUUUCAUGUUUUUGCUCUAAACUAGAAGCAAACUUUCCGUAUUUCAUAAGUACUGUUUCAUUGCAGGUUUCAAUGUUCUGAUUUUUGAGAACACAACAAUAUUUUUCACAAAUAACUUUUAUUUCUACUUCUUACAAAGCUAAUUGAAAUCCCAAUUUUACAAUGUUAUUGUUGCCUUUGAAUUGAAGGCAUGCCCGGUGACCGACAUG